rnacentral:lncRNA from 1 species
UGCUUCACUUUCAUGUCCAGAGCUGCUUAGACUGAUUUCUGCAAAGUGCACAGGCAUUUUCAUGCUGAGGAUAAAGGACCAUGAUCGCUUGUCUGGACCCAGAAAAUAUUUCCCAUUUGCUACACAGAUGCCGUCUCAUCCUUCCAGAGUUCAAGACUUCAGCAGAAAAAAAAAUCACCUCAUUAAAGGAAAAUUGUGCCUUAUCCCCACUACUCGAAGAUGCAACCAUCUGCCUGGUCACAGCCACUUUUUUCCUUUUUUUCUCACUCCAUCGUAUGUGUGUGUGGUGGGGCAGGGGAUAAGGGGAAUAAUCUCUCUCCAGUAUAAGAAGAUGCCAUUAGGUUAAGCACCUUGAGAUACGGCGAUUAUACUGGAUUAUCCAGGAUGACUUUAAAUGCAGUCUUCAAUGUGAGAGGAAAAUGCAGUGUGACCACACAGGCAGAGAUUGCAGUGAAGCAGCCACUGACAAAUCCACUGGCAGCCACUAGAAGCUGAAAGAGGCUAGGAAACAGCUUCUCCCCUAGCACCUCUGAAGAAGUACAGUCCUACUAAUACCUUGAUAUGACACAUUGAAACUGAUUUUGGAUUUCUGAUGUCCAGAACUAUGAAAAAAUAAAUUUCUGUUGUUGUAAGCCUCUAAUUUUAUUAGAAUGUGUUACAUAAUUAUGUAACAAGUAAUUAUGUAAACAUAAUACACAGAUUACAUAUAUCUGUUAUGUAUAAACAUAACACAACAACUCUAGGAAACUACUAAAACGGAAGAGAACAACCAGAAAGGGAGACAGAAUAGGUGGUAGGCACUAAUGCUAAAGGUUCAACUUUCUGUCCAUCCAGGGGACUUUAUGUAGCAAAGGGACCUUGUCUUAGACAGAAUGGUACAAACUUCCUAAUUCUUGGUCUUUUUUGAAAUUUUCUACUAGUCAAGCAAAUAUAGCUUUGAGCAUAAAUAUGGGAGAGUUUCUAUAAAUAAGGUAACAGUUAAAGUACUUUGAGCAAUAAUGGAACAGUGGGCUACUAUUCUUA